UACGGGGGGGGCAAGCGUUGUUCGGAAUUACUGGGCGUAAAGGGCGCGUAGGCGGCCAGCUAAGUCGUACGUGAAAUCCCUCGGCUUAACCGGGGAACUGCGUCUGAUACUGGAUGGAUCGAGUUCGGGAGAGGGAUGCGGAAUUCCAGGUGUAGCGGUGAAAUGCGUAGAUAUCUGGAGGAACACCGGUGGCGAAGGCGGCAUCCUGGACCGAUACUGACGCUGAGGAGCGAAAGCCAGGGGAGCAAACGGG
rnacentral:rRNA from 1 species